rnacentral:tmRNA from 1 species
GGGGGCGCUUUGGAUUCGACGCCGGUUACAAAACCCGUGGUGCAUGCCGAGAGGGCGAUCAAUCUCGUUAAUCCAAAAUCGCAAACUUUAGUUGCCAACGACGACAACUACGCACUCGCUGCUUAAUACCCAGUAGGGUGCCGUCUGACUGAAGCCGUGCUUGUGCGUUCAGGUUCCAGGCGUCGACUCUCACAAGAUCGCGCGGAAGCUCGUCCGGGGCGGAAACGUUAAAACCUUACCGGAAUCGCUACAUCGCGCGCCCUGUCGGCCGGGUUGUGAUGGGCUAAACAUAAAGACCGAAUAAGCAUGUAGAGCUACUGGUAGCGGACUGACGGACGCGGGUUCAAUUCCCGCCGCCUCCACCA